rnacentral:misc_RNA from 1 species
GCCUGUUCAUUGGAUGAUCGAAUCUCGCGUUUCGUCAUCUCCCCUUCGGUUCCCUGUGUUGCAUACCUUCGCGACGGUAUCCUGUCGGCUAGAAUCGCCCCGUUUCGCCCGACGUCGCGAGCAACAUCGCGACCGAGGGCGAACCGAAAAGCACUCAUCGCGUUCCACCCCGUUCGCGUGACGCGCUGCGGGACACGGCCCGCGAUGACGUGCUCGAAUUCUCGGAUGCGGAACACAAUGCGGGCACGAGGACGUGGAUCCUCCGUUUGCCCCCGAACAAGCGUUCUACGCUCUGUGCGAACGACGUUCUUCCUCGU